ACGAACGCUGGCGGCGUGCUUAACCCCUGCAAGUCGAACGGUAAGGCCCCUUCGGGGGUACACGAGUGGCGACCGGGUGAGUAACACGUGAGCAACCUGCCCUUGACUCUGGAAUAACAGUUGGAAACAGCUGCUAAUACUGGAUAUUCAUCGUCUCCUUCCUGGGGGGUGGUGGAAAGCUCCGGCGGUCAGGGAUGGGCUCGCGGCCUAUCAGCUUGUUGGUGAGGUAAUGGCUCACAAAGGCUUCGACGGGUAGCCGGCCUGAGAGGGCGACCGGCCACAAUGGGACUGAGAUACGGCCCAGACUCCUACGGGAGGCAGCAGUGGGGAAUAUUGCACAAUGGGCGCAAGCCUGAUGCAGCAACGCCGCGUGCGGGAUGACGGCCUUCGGGUUGUAAACCGCUUUCAGUAGGGACGAAGGGUGACUGACGGUACCUACAGAAGAAGGACCGGCUAACUACGUG
rnacentral:rRNA from 1 species